AUUGAACGCUGGCGGCAGGCCUAACACAUGCAAGUCGGACGGUAGCACAGAGGAGCUUGCUCCUCGGGUGACGAGUGGCGGACGGGUGAGUAAUGUCUGGGGAUCUGCCCGCUAGAGGGGGAUAACCACUGGAAACGGUGGCUAAUACCGCAUAACGUCGCAAGACCAAAGAGGGGGACCUUCGGGCCUCUCACUAUCGGAUGAACCCAGAUGGGAUUAGCUAGUAGGCGGGGUAAUGGCCCACCUAGGCGACGAUCCCUAGCUGGUCUGAGAGGAUGACCAGCCACACUGGAACUGAGACACGGUCCAGACUCCUACGGGAGGCAGCAGUGGGGAAUAUUGCACAAUGGGCGCAAGCCUGAUGCAGCCAUGCCGCGUGUAUGAAGAAGGCCUUCGGGUUGUAAAGUACUUUCAGCGGGGAGGAAGGCGGUGAGGUUAAUAACCUCGCCGAUUGACGUUACCCGCAGAAGAAGCACCGGCUAACUCCGUGCCAGCCGCCGCAGUAAGAC
rnacentral:rRNA from 1 species